AACGAACGCUGGCGGCAUGCCUAACACAUGCAAGUCGAACGAAGUCUUCGGACUUAGUGGCGCACGGGUGCGUAACGCGUGGGAAUCUGCCCUUGGGUGCGGAAUAACUUCUCGAAAGGGAUGCUAAUACCGCAUAAUGUCGUAAGACCAAAGAUUUAUCGCCCAAGGAUGAGCCCGCGUAAGAUUAGCUAGUUGGUGGGGUAAAAGCCUACCAAGGCGACGAUCUUUAGCUGGUCUGAGAGGAUGAUCAGCCACACUGGGACUGAGACACGGCCCAGACUCCUACGGGAGGCAGCAGUGGGGAAUAUUGGACAAUGGGCGAAAGCCUGAUCCAGCAAUGCCGCGUGAGUGAUGAAGGCCCUAGGGUUGUAAAGCUCUUUUACCAGGGAUGAUAAUGACGGUAGUCGGAGAAGAAGCCCCGGCUAACUUCGUGCCAGCAGCCGCGU
rnacentral:rRNA from 1 species